GGAGAGGUGGCCGAGUCAGGUCGAAGGCGCUCCCCUGCUAAGGGAGUAGGCGGUUUAUCCCGUCUCGAGGGUUCAAAUCCCUCCCUCUCCGCCA
rnacentral:tRNA from 1 species